rnacentral:rRNA from 1 species
ACCUGUUAUCUAGUUUUGAGAGAACACUCUCAAUUUGUUUGGUGGCGAUAGCGAAGAGGUCACACCCGUUCCCAUACCGAACACGGAAGUUAAGCUCUUCAGCGCCGAUGGUAGUCGGGGGUUUCCCCCUGUGAGAGUAGGACGCCGCCAAGC